AGUGAACGCUGGCGGUAGGCCUAACACAUGCGAGUCGAACGGCAGCACAGUAAGAGCUUGCUCUUACGGGUGGCGAGUGGCGGACGGGUGAGGAAUACAUCGGAAUCUACUUUUUCGUGGGGGAUAACGUAGGGAAACUUACGCUAAUACCGCAUACGACCUACGGGUGAAAGCAGGGGAUCUUCGGACCUUGCGCGAUUGAAUUAGCCGACGUCGGGCUAGCUAGUUUGGAGGGUAAAGGCCCACCAAGGCAACGAUCCGUAGCUGGUCUGAGAGGAUGAGCGGCCAAAGUGGAACUGAGACACGGUCCAGAUGCCGACGGCAGGCAGCAGUAGGGAAGAUGCCGCAAUGGGCGAAAGCCGGACGGAGCAACGACGCGUGAGGGAAGAAGGUCUUCGGAUCGUAAAACUCUGUUAUUAGGGAAGAAAAAAAGUGUAAGUAACUAUGCACGUCUUGACGGUACCUAAUCAGAAAGCCACGGCUAACUACGUG
rnacentral:rRNA from 1 species